rnacentral:rRNA from 1 species
GACGAACGCUGGCGGCGUGCUUAACACAUGCAAGUCGAACGGAAAGGCCCUGCUUUUGUGGGGUGCUCGAGUGGCGAACGGGUGAGUAACACGUGAGUAACCUGCCCUUGACUUUGGGAUAACUUCAGGAAACUGGGGCUAAUACCGGAUAGGAGCUCCUGCUGCAUGGUGGGGGUUGGAAAGUUUCGGCGGUUGGGGAUGGACUCGCGGCUUAUCAGCUUGUUGGUGGGGUAGUGGCUUACCAAGGCUUUGACGGGUAGCCGGCCUGAGAGGGUGACCGGCCACAUUGGGACUGAGAUACGGCCCAGACUCCUACGGGAGGCAGCAGUGGGGAUAUUGCACAAUGGGCGGAAGCCUGAUGCAGCAACGCCGCGUGCGGGAUGACGGCCUUCGGGUUGUAAACCGCCUUCGCCUGUGACGAAGCGUGAGUGACGGUAAUGGGUAAAGAAGCACCGGCUAACUACGUG